rnacentral:rRNA from 1 species
UGACGGCCUUCGGGUUGUAAACCUCUUUUAGUAGGGAAGAAGCGAAAGUGACGGUACCUGCAGAAAAAGCACCGGCCAACUACGUGCCAGCAGCCGCGGUAAUACGUAGGGUGCAAGCGUUGUCCGGAAUUAUUGGGCGUAAAGAGCUCGUAGGCGGUUUGUCGCGUCUGCUGUGAAAUCCCGAGGCUCAACCUCGGGCUUGCAGUGGGUACGGGCAGACUAGAGUGCGGUAGGGGAGAUUGGAAUUCCUGGUGUAGCGGUGGAAUGCGCAGAUAUCAAGAGGAACACCGAUGGCGAAGGCAGAUCUCUGGGCCGUAACUGACGCUGAGGAGCGAAAGCAUGGGGAGCGAACAGGAUUAGAUACCCUGGUAGUCCAUGCCGUAAACGUUGGGCGCUAGAUGUAGGGACCUUUCCACGGUUUCUGUGUCGUAGCUAACGCAUUAAGCGCCCCGCCUGGGGAGUACGGCCGCAAGGCUAAACUC